ACUUUCUCUGGCUCCGCAGACCCGUAAUGAGCCUCCAGAACCUCAGGCUUAGUUUUCUCCGUCUUCAGCAUGUGGAUCACAUCUUCUCUGGCCUGUGAUGGAAAGCACAGCAAGGGCAAAAGGACAAAGCACAGACACAGCAUCAGGCUAGCCAUGCAGCGUUUUUUGCAAAUUAGAAAGAGGUGCCUGCUUCUUCCAGGAGUCACAGCUCUGAGUAAGGGUGCAGCCUGCCUAGCGUGCAAAGUGUACUCCUACUGAAUCCCUUGCCAGGCACCUCUGUACAAGGCCCAGCUCCACAUCUGUGUAUGGUGAUCUUGUCCUGAAGGAGUCCAAGGUACGUGUCUAACUCUGGGAGGACGGGGAAUCAAGAUGAGCCACUGAACUUCAAAUUCAACACGGUGCCUCCUCUUGAAGCUCUCAGAUUAGUUAAAGACUUGGGGUGCGUGAAAUAGAAGAAUCCAUUCUAAAGUGCAUAUGGAAUUUCAAGAGACAACAAAUGUCCAAAAGGGACAGCCAAAGAGCCAGUGUCGAAAAAGAACAAAAUUCAGGACUAAAUUGACUGAUGUGGAACAGCUAGAUCUACUGAGCAACACAGCCAAAAGCCUUUCCACAGGGCCUUCCCUGAUGGUCCAGCAGUUAAGAAUCCACCUUACAGUGCAGAGGACGCAGGUUCAAACC